rnacentral:rRNA from 1 species
UACGUAGGGUGCGAGGGUUAAUCGGAAUUACUGGGCGUAAAGCGUGCGCAGGCGGUUAUAUAAAACAGAAGUGAAAUCCCCGGGCGCAACCCGGGACCUGCAUUUGUGAAUGUAUAGCUAGAGGACGGGAGGGGGGGGUGGAAUUCCCCGUGUAGCAGUGAAAUGCGUAGAUAUGCGGAGGAACACCGAUGGCGAAGGCAAUCCCCUGGACCUGUACUGACGCUCAUGCACGAAAGCGUGGGGAGCAAACAGGAUUAGAUACCCUGGUAGUCCACGCCCUAAACGAUGUCAACUGGUUGUUGGGUCUUCACUGACUCAGUAACGAAGCUAACGCGUGAAGUUGACCGCCUGGGGAGUACGGCCGCAAGGUUG